rnacentral:rRNA from 1 species
GGCGGCUAACGCUGGGCCAGCAGCCUGGGUAGUCGUGGUGGCCCGAGCGGUGUUCGGAUUCACUAGUCUUAAAGGGUGCGUAAGUGGUGAGGUAAGUCGGAUGUGAAAUCUCGGAGCUCAACUCCGAAACGGCAAUGGAAACUACCUCGCUCGAGGGUUUGAGGGGGGACUGGAAUACUUGGUGUAGCAGUGAAAUGCGUAGAUAUCAAGUGGAACACCAGUGGCGAAGGCGAGUCCCUGGAAAACUCCUGACACUGAGGCACGAAAGCCAGGGGAGCAAACAGGAUUAGAACCGUAGUC